CUAAGCCCAGCGCCGCUCCAGCUCCCCGGCCUGGCCCCGGGCCUCGCCCUCGGUCCCGGCCUCUGGUCCCGGCCCGCGGUCCUGGCCCGCGGUCCUGGCCGGAGCUGUUCGCCGCCGCGGUGCUGAAGCGGUGCGGGACAGAGGCAGGAGCGCUGGCCUCGGUGCCUGCGGGUCCCUCAGCAGAGCCCGCCGUGCGGGGAGGGACUGAAGGGCUCCCGCGGGCUGCGGGGACAAAGGCGCCGAGGUGUUAACCCGCUGGGUCCGAGCCCCGACAGCGUGGCCGGGGCCACACAGCCCGUCAUGCAGGACAGCGUGAGCAGUGGGGCCGUGGUGUCGCUGCCCCAAAGUAGGACGCAGCUCCAGCGCCGGAGCAGCCCGUGAAGAAAAGUGGGGAACGUGCUGGAGCACAGGGCUGUGGGACACCUGGCAGGCCCUACCACCCGGCCGGGGCUCCAUGAAGACUUUGACGGGCCUUAGGGGACACACACAUGCUCCUGCCUGACCAGCUCUCUGCAGGUGUGGGGCUCAGCGCCUCCAGUGCGUACUUCAGAUUCUCGAGGAGAUGAUGUGGUCCAAGAGGCUUUAAAGCAGUGCUGGUGACCAGAUGCAGUAACCUUGAGCCAGAAGGCUGCUCUGCCAUGUGUGCUGUGCCAUUGCUACAUGGUGGAUCACUGAAUGGAACGCCAUUGCAGAGAGCUGCUGACAAUGCCCCAGCUACUGCACUGUCUUCUUCCUGACAGCACCAACCUAGAGGCUACACCCAAUAUAAGAGCUAUAAAGUCACUAUUUCUUGUUGCAUCUCAGUUUAUUGCAGCUCUUGUCCCAUAUUGGGGAGCUGCUUCCUGCUCACUGAGGCUUCAUGGCAGAGCAGUCCAUUUCUCAGACCUUGGAAGGUCUUCUAGAGGCUUAGCUUGGGGAUUGCUCUUCUUAAAUCAUCAGAGACUACUUGUAGAGAUCAAUUCUGUCUUUGUGCUUAUUCUGUCACUGGUCAAACACUCAAGUUGUAGUUUGUCUAGAGAUUUACCAUGGUUUUUCCAUCAGAGCAUUGUCCAGCUAUCAGAAAUCUACAGAAAUCGGGCAGAGCACAUUGGCCUGGAUUGGAAUAGGCACCUUCUAUAUCAUCAGGGUAUCAGCCUUCCCCAUUUUCUGCUUUCUCCCAAAAGGGAUAAAGAAAACACAAUUUUUUUCAUGUUCUUUUUUAUAUAUUAAAAGGAAAAAAAAAUUCUGCUAGGUGAGCACUGUUUUUUUUUUUUUUUUGCAAAGCUAUGUCUGCUGAAAGCAGCAGAAUGUUCAUGGAAAUUCACCUAACGCUAUAAAUCUAUCUGUGCUUCAUGUGUCAUGUCCUAGUCUUCUUCAUUUCAUGAAGCAGAUGAAAAACUACAGUGGGUAAAGGAUUUACUAAAUUUUCGAGGGACAUUGAUAUUUGUCAGGUACUUAAUUAUUACUUUUUUAAAGUUAGUCUGUAACAUGGAAUCUAGUAUAAAAGAGAAAGAGAAACACUUCUGAAUGCCAGCUGAGUUAUUGAAGCUUAAGAUAGAUAUUACACAAAACACUGCAGCUGCUUGCUGUCAGACUGUUCAUUUGUGCACUGCAAUGUCUGUUUAACUUUUCCUCACUUGGACCACCUGCCUUUUCAAAAUGUUUUAUGUGUGAGAUAAGUCCCUGGAGGAGAUUGCACAAACAACUUAAGGAAAUAUGGUGUUAUUCUCCUGAUUUAUACAGCAGCUUCAUUUUCCUUCAUCUUCUCCAGUUUGCAAAACUAUUGUCUGGGAAAUGUGCUUUCAUAGAUGAUAGCUUCCUUUGCUGACUGUAGGCUGAGGACACACACUGGUCCCCUGCAUUUCCUUUGCACACAGCCCUGAAUUGAUUUGUCUCCCACCUGGCCCCCCUGUCUCAUCAGGACAAGUGGGGAUUUUUGUCACUGAUUCAGCUAAGCAUAGGCUCAUGGACUUCAUAUUCCUUGUAAGUUUUCCCUGGUAGGACAUUUGAUUUUAGGAGUCUUUUCCCGUGGUGGCUUGCUCUUUCUCUUUUGUUUUGUUGGGUUUUUUUUUAAAAUCCUCUUCCCCCUGACAUGCUCAAAUAUAGAAAAAAACCCACAAAUUAAUAUCACUCCCUGGUGUGUGUUUGUGGAGCAAUGAGGAAUCAGGAACUGACUGACUUAUGUGACACAAGAAAUAUCUUGUAUGUUUUUGGAUUUAUAGUAAUUACUUUAAAAAAAAAUGUUGCAUGGCUUGAUUUUGCCUCUGGUCAUCCUUAUUAGUGAAUUGCUACAAUUGCAGAGAGAACAUUCUCUUUUGACUGUGAUUCCUUACCCAUUAAAGAGGAGAAAUCAUGCUGCUCUGUUGACUCAGCCUUUCUUCUCAAGUUGUACUGCAAUUACAGGCAUGGUCUGAACAGCCAUUGAAACACCAAAAAAUGUCCCUAGGUUAGCUCUGUACCUGUCAUUCCCGGGGCUCCAUUUUCCUAGGUAACCCAUGUCUUUGCCUUCUAGAAAGAAGGCAAAAUCUGUUCCAUAAUUUCCUCCCAUCCUCAGUACUGCCACUAAGGGUCUGACAACUGUCUUCUCCAGGAAAACUUCCCAUCCACAUUUGCAUCCUGGAUAUCUUUAACUGCUUCAGCACCUACUAACAAGGUGAUACCUCAGGAACACACUGAGUAUUACACCCCUCUCCCAAAGACAGUACUUAAAGACUGGUACGUAAAUUAUGUUGCUCUGGAGCCUUGAACUUCUUAGUAAAGUAGGUAUUUGCUGCAGGCAGCUGCAGUACAAGUCAAACCAAUUUAUUUAAUGUAGAUUAAUAAUUUGAUAUAAUUAUUUUCCAAGGACACUUACUAGGCUUAUUUUCGAAUGUUCAGUCAUUUCAUAGCCCCAAAUAUACUGUAUGAUGAAAGUAGCUGGAUUUUAUACUUUUAAACCAUCUUUGUUUAAUUUCAACUCCUUUUUUUCAAAACAGAGACUCUACAAAGAUGAGCAGAGGUCAAAUUGUCAGCUGUUUGCUGUAACACUCUCCCCUUUCUUCUAGUUCAGCAAGAUCAAAUCCCAUAAAUCUUCUUGAUCUUGAAAUACACAAAAGCACACUGAAAUUUAAAAUAAAAACUUGGGCAUUUAGCUGUCUUGAAAAUGUACUUCCAAACAUAUAUUCUGCAAGAAGUAUCUUACAAAGCUUGUUAAACAGAUGUGUUCAGUACUGGGCACAUUUUGUCUGGGGGUUUAAGUAAAGAGACAUUGAUUCCACUGAGAGAAAAUAAUAAGUAAAGACUACUAACAAAUUAGCUGACUGUAUAUAUGCACUUCUUUAGGAAUAAAGGCAUACAUAUGAUUUUCUGUAAUUGUGGAAAAUCACGGAAUCACAGAAUAGUUAGGGAUGGAAGGGAGCUCUGGAGGUCAUCCAGUCUAACCCCCUGCCAAGGCAGGGUCACCUCAAGCAGGUGACACAGGACCAUAUCCAGAUGGGUUUUGAAUAUCUGCAGAGAGGGAGACUGCACGAGCUCCCUGGGCAAUCUGUUCCAGUGCUCUGCCACCCUCAAUGUAAAGAACUUGUUCUUCAUGUUGAGUUGAAACUUCUCGUGAUUUAGUUUAUGGCCACUGCUCUUCAUCCUGUCCCAGAGCACCACCAAAAAGAGUCUGGCACCAAUGUACUCAUAUAUUAAGGAAAAUCUGCCUAUUUCUUCAUCACAUAAAUGUAUUUAUAAUUUGCCACGUCAGUGAAUGAUUGCUUGUUCAUGAGGAUAUGUGUUUGCAGCAGGUACUGAGAUCAGUCAAUAGGGUAGGCCCGAUAUUCUGGGGUGGUAACAGUGAUUCAAUAAUAGUCAGCCUUAUCUGAUGCCCUAUUAGCCUUUUCUGGCCAUAAGAUGUAUACUGAAGCUCCAUUUGUCUGUGCUCUCCUCUGCCUUGUGUGCAGAAUGGGAAGCAGCACAAAAAUGCAGGCUUGCAGCCUGGAUCCCAUGAGACACUGACAAGAUCCACCUUAUCUGUGCCCCUUUUUCCUUCACAAAGGCUCUGCCACAUUCUUUCAGAAAGACACUUCAGGCACAGCUGAGAGCCAGCUGGCAGCUGCAGGAGUAGUUCCAACAGUGACAGGUGGCUGGGGGUGUCUGGGUGCACACCCAUCAUGUCAAUGAAGAGAUCAGUGCUGCCACUGGGGGAUGGGUGUGUCAGGCUGCCUGACACAGAGUGCCAGAUGCCAUGCUCCACUGCCACAUGGAUGUCCUGUCACCAGACAGAUGUUCAGCCAUAUUUUUGUGCCUUCCAUUAGAAGCAUCCCUCUCUGGCAUGAGCAUGGAGCCUUGUUUCCAUAAAAGCUCUUCUGGUCAGGAUUUCAGAUAUCUCCCUCACUGUCAUACCUUUUCUGAAUUAACUCAGAAGCAAAAUUCAUUCCCUUGAUCAAUGCUGAAUGUAGAGUGCACCCACCCAUCUCUUAUUUCUUUCUCCUAUUUUUGUUUUCAUAUUGAUCUCUGCUACCACAAGAAAGUCUGUGAGAUGGAGGCAUGAUAUUAUGAAGCUGGAAGAGACAGUCACAUUUCUUCAUCCCUGGAGGUAUUCUUAGCCGUGUGCAAAUGCUAAAAAAGGAUGAAACCUUAGGAAAACCAAUUGAUGUUUCAAAAGUGUAGCUAUGAUAUUUUAUGAAAAGCCCUUUGCUAGGAUUUUUCUCUUAUUCUAGCUGAGAAGCUUCAGAAAAUAAAUGCAGACAAUUAACUAUCCAUGGCUGUGGAAUGUAGUUUAGACAUUAUUUACCAACAGGUGCAUCUGUGCUUAGUCCAUAUUAGUUGUUUCCAAUUAAUGGCCAAUCACAGUCAGCUGGCUCAGACUCUCUGGGAGUCACGAGCUUUUGUUAUUCAUUUUUCUUCUGUCCUUUUUGCUUCUAAAGAUCUUUUUCUCUCUAUUUUUUUAGUAUAGUUUUAAUACAGCAUUUCAAUAUAAUAUAUACCAUAAUAUAAUCAACCUUCUGAAACAUGGAGUUAAAAUCUUGUCUCUUCACUCGUCCUAGCACCCUCGAACAUCACCAACAGAAGACUUAUGUACUAAAAGUAUAAUUCUUAUCAUGAUGUGGCUUUAGGACAAAUCAAUACCCAGGAAUUCCUAUGAAAGUGAAGGACAUGGGAGGAUUACCACAGGAAUGGUGUCCUUCAGGAGGGAAAAAGGAAAAGACAAGGAGUCCCAGCAAGAGGAAAAGAAGCAAAAUAAGAAUGAUAAUGUUUAGGAAUUUUCAAAAACAGAUGUAACUAUACCUUUCUGUCUAAUGGUCUUGGUAGGCUUUAUUUCCAUCACUUUUCUGAUUCCUUUUUGAGCAAACUUGUACAAUCAUCUUUCUCAACGCCCCUUGCACUAUGCUGGGGCAAUGAAUUCCACAAUUUAAGAAUAGCUUGUGAAGCAUUUCCUUUUUUUUCACCUGUCACCUGAUCAUUUUAUUUUAUGUCCCUCAGUUCUUGUACUGUGAGAAAAAGUCAGUAAUCAUUCCUCAUUCAUCUUCUCUGUGGUAAACCUAAAUUUAUACAUUUACAUAUUUUUAAAAUAUUAUUUUAUAUAAUUUUGUAUUUGUUCUAGUUUCACUAUAUCCCUUUAAACACUGAUUAUUCAGAGCUCAAUGAAGUUUUCUAGGUGUGAGUGCAUUGCAGACUUUGGCAAAGACUUAUUGAUGUUUCUAUUUUCUACUUCUUUCUUACUAUUUUUUUGCCUUCUGCUUUCCUAUUUCAUGGAUGCUGAAUAGUGAACUGUGGUUUUCUGGAAUUAGUCAGAAAAAUAAUCAGUUUCUCUUUCAUGGAUAAUAGUUGAUGAUUAGAGCAUAAUGAGGUGGAGAACUUCAGAACUAAAGUGCUUUAAUCUCAUGAAAAAACAGAGACAAAAGUAUGGAAAAGGAAACAAGGGUGCAUAUAAUUAUAGGAAAAUAUGUAAUCCAAAUUUUUUCUUCCUCAGGAAGAACAGGUAGGUGUAUGUGAGGAAGCUACAGAAAACCAAGUUGCAGUGAGAAGUAAGAGAUGACCAAGAUGUGGAUCAUACAAUUUCUCUUUUCACAUUUGGAUGAAGUAGACAUUAUCAGUGAGGAAUAACAGCAUUUACUGUAAUUCCUGAUGAGGACAGAAAAUAAUCAAAAUGCCACCAUUGUGAAAAUGGUGGCAUUUCAGUCGAGACAGGAGGAGAUGAAAAGGUGAGAGAAGAAAUGAUGUAGCUAUUCAGCGCACAAGUACACCAGGGACCAGUUAUCAGAGGGGCCCAGGUGCAGCUUAGGAAGAUGGGGGAAGCAAGGAGUGAAUGUCAGCAGCUGGUAGGAUAAACAGUUUCAUUCUGAUUAUUGCACUGCUGCCUGUAUUAAGCACACAGUACCACUAACAACAAAUGCAAAACUAGAAGACAGGUCCCCAGUUUCCUUUCUGUUACUUUUGAUAUUGUGAAAAGAUUAAAAUAAUCAUUUUGAUUAAAAUUUUCCUUGUGUUUGCUGACAGCGAGGUUAUUUACAUGUAGUAUGCAUUUACAGCCAUUGUUGCCUUAAGAGGCUUCCAGCAGUUCUGUCUUAGAAUAUUUAAUACGAAAAUUCAUGUGCUCCAAACAUUAUUAAUCUUUCUUGCCGUUAUGGAAUUAUGAUGCACGCUUUUGCUUUAUGAAAUCGAAACAGUUUAAUCCUUUCAGUACCUUACAAGGAGAUGACCAUUGGUCAAAGAGGUAUUUAUAUUUCCCUGUUCACCCCAAGAAUGUCUAAAUUCACCUGUUUUAGCCUGAUUAGUUUGGUAAAAAUUGUUACUAGAGAGAAUGAAGGCUGGAAGGUUUCUUGCUCUAGUUAUAAAUCUUGUUUUUCCUCAUUUAUUAUUUUUAAUUAAAUAAUUGAUUUGGUUUUAGUUAGUUACUCUUGGUUACUUUGCAAUCUAGGGAAAACAAUAAAUCUUGAAAGCCUGAAGAAAAAGGAACAACUGUAUGGAAAUAAAUGUCCUUUUUUUUUUUUUCCUCAGAUAUAUUUGCCUUAAAAUAAUUGUUCAGCAUAAUGUAGCAAUUUCCAGAAUGGUCAAGUCGGUGAAUUACAAAAGAAUAUUUAGGAAAUGUGAUAAAUGUACUCAUUAGCAGACUUAAAUGGGGGAAGGGAGUCAGCACCGAAGAAAAUAAUAGCAUCUUUGGAAACUGGUUUAUUCUGCCCUCUUAUAAAACAGGUUGCAGUGGAAAAAAUCAUUUUCUUCUAAACAAAAGCAAACACCACACUGUUUUCCAGAAAAAAAUGCAGAAUUACAGCAGUUUUCCCCAGGGUUUGGAAAGUAUCGGAUUUGUCCCACUACUUCACUGGAGGUCUUGCACAGAGAUAAUGAAUGGCCCUCACAGUCCCCUGAUGGUGCCCUCUGGGCAUCAGAGACAGAAAACUUUACAAGAGAAAAACCUAUUGUGUCUUGCUGGCAAUGUGCCCCCUUUCCCGGUGGUGACAACAAUAAAGACAACCUGGUGGAUUGAGAAGCACCAGGCUGCACUGCUGCAGCAGUACAUGCCUGAGCCUCAGCAGAGCUCCACGCAGGAGAGCUGGACUGGGCUGCUGUGUGCCCGGUCCUGAGGCCACACUGUGCACCCAAAGGAGAUGUUUGCUACAGGCUAAAGCAUCCAGCAAACACGAGUAUUUCUGCUCCCUGUGUAUGUACGUCUGUGGAGGAUGAGUCUGACCUGGUAACCCAGCUAGCUUCCAUAUUUAACGGGUGUUGUAGACAGACUUUUUGAUACCUUGGAGCACUAGCCACAUGCACACUAUUAAAAAUGGCAGCAAAACAGCAGAAAAAGUCUGCCUACAUCUUCUCCAGUGCCUGGGGUCAAACUUUGUGUCCAGAUCAAGAGGCUGUUACGCUUGCAGAAUCUCCUCUACACAGGCAGAGACUGUGGAGAAAUUAUGAUGUCUCUUGGGCCUCCAUGAAUUGGAGUGCAUAAAAUAAAAUGCUAGGGAAAAAAAUAUAAAGUUCAAUGCUUUCUUUUCCUUAAGACAGUUGUGUUUCCACUUCACUUGUUAUUUGAAUCAUGCCUUGACUACUUUUAAAAUCACCUCUUGCACAGCAACUUCAUCUCAUAUUCUGAUUUCAGUCAUCUUCUAAGUCUAAAAGCUAGUGGCUGCUGUUCCAGGAGCUCACAACCCUAAUUGCUGUCCCUGUUACUGUGGAGCUGCCUUUUUUUCCACAUAGAUACACUUGGAAAUCACAGCACACUUACAUAAAAUUGUUAUCUUCAAAAGACCUGAUCCCUCAAGAAGUCAUGUCCAAGACUUAAUCAGUGUGAGAAAUCACAUCAUCCUGAAUUGCUCUUCAGUGUGGCAAAAGUUUCUUCUAGGUCAACCCAGCAAAAAAUGUCAAAUCAGACAAGGGUUGUAUUAAUUUUAUUUGGCAGUUCUCUGCAGAACAUAAGAAGGUAGACCUCUGCUCUAUAUUUAUUUUAUUGGAAGGAGUAGAAAGCUUGUCACAGAUCAAAGUCUUCCAGCUGCUCUCUUGGGAAGGCAUCACUCCUUCUGCUGGGUCUAUGGAGCUGUAAAAGCACUGGAUAUAAAAGUAAUAAUAAAUAAUAUAUAAUAAUUACUUGUGAUUACUUUCAGUAUUCACCUGUUUGUACUGUAUAAGCUAAACUUCCAAGCAGAGUGGUUUUUAAAAAUGUCUGCUGGAAAUGUGGUUGCAAAACUAUCUAUAUACCCUUUUUCCCUAAAAAUGUUAUUUGCCCCUCCCCAUAUUUCACAGAAAUAUGCCAAUGUUUUUCACGUGUUCAACAGCAAACAUACAUGAGUAGCUUGGGUUUGUCUUGUUUUGAUAAUUUAAUUUAGGUUGUAUUGUUUUCAUUCACAGUUUUGACUCAUUAAAAUAUUAGUAACAUGUUAUAUUUAUCCAUACAUGUACUAAAUAUAUUUAUAUUUUAUGUUUAGACUUUAUUGUUUUAGUAGAAUCAGAAUAAAGUAUUUAACACAUAAACUAA